GACGAACGCUGGCGGCGUGCCUAAUACAUGCAAGUAGAACGCUGAAGAGAGGAGCUUGCUCUUCUUGGAAGAGUUGCGAACGGGUGAGUAACGCGUAGGUAACCUGCCUUGUAGCGGGGGAUAACUAUUGGAAACGAUAGCUAAUACCGCAUAACAAUGGGUGACCCAUGUCAUUCAUUUGAAAGGGGCAACUGCUCCACUACAAGAUGGACCUGCGUUGUAUUAGCUAGUAGGUGAGGUAACGGCUCACCUAGGCGACGAUACAUAGCCGACCUGAGAGGGUGAUCGGCCACACUGGGACUGAGACACGGCCCAGACUCCUACGGGAGGCAGCAGUAGGGAAUCUUCGGCAAUGGGGGCAACCCUGACCGAGCAACGCCGCGUGAGUGAAGAAGGUUUUCGGAUCGUAAAGCUCUGUUGUAAGUCAAGAACGAGUGUGAGAGUGGAAAGUUCACACUGUGACGGUAGCUUACCAGAAAGGGACGGCUAACUACGUGCCAGCAGCCGCGGUAAUACGUAGGUCCCGAGCGUUGUCCGGAUUUAUUGGGCGUAAAGCGAGCGCAGGCGGUUUGAUAAGUCUGAAGUUAAAGGCUGUGGCUCAACCAUAGUUCGCUUUGGAAACUGUCAAACUUGAGUGCAGAAGGGGAGAGUGGAAUUCCAUGUGUAGCGGUGAAAUGCGUAGAUAUAUGGAGGAACACCGGUGGCGAAAGCGGCUCUCUGGUCUGUAACUGACGCUGAGGCUCGAAAGCGUGGGGAGCGAACGGG
rnacentral:rRNA from 1 species